CUGUGGCUCCAGGCACCGCUGGUCUCAGGACACGUCACUGGAGAAGGGGAGGGGUGCAAGGCCCCUGUCCGCCGAGUCUGUGGCCCCACUGGUCUGCUUGCUCCUUCCCAUCAAAGCUUUUCCCCAGGAAUACUCCCUUUUCUGCACUGCUGGUCUGUGUUGUUCAGCCCCUCUCCCCAACCCUGCCAAGGCAGCUGCCAGGGAAACCAGGUGCCCUGUCCCAGCGUGGAUGCUUCACCUAAGCCUAUUUGGGUAGUGACCCAGAGAACUGCUGAGCUCUUCCUCACCCACCUCUUUGUCUGGGAACCAAACGGGAAGACUUCACUUCGGAGAUGUACACUCUUUACCACCUGUGGUCCCCUGGGGCUCUGCCCCUCUUCCUCCUGGACCAGUCAGCAUAUGAAGUCCCCUCCACAGGAUGGGCUGCAAGCAUGAGUACCUGAAGCCCAGACUUUUACUAAACUUGCCUGGAAGGAAAAUUCCCUUUCUUCCAUGGUCUUGGGCUGUGAGAACAGGUCCUGUUGGCAGCCACUUUUCCAUGUUAGGAGUGGACAUUUAAAAUUUUUAAAACUAAAAAACAAAAUUUUUUGGACACACUAUGAGACAUGUGGAAUCUUAGCUUCCCAACCCAGUGAUCACACCCACACCCUCUGCAUUGGAAGCAUGGAGUCUUAAUCACUGGACUGCCAGGAAAGUCCCAGGAGGGGACUUCAAAUGGUAGUGGGUGAUACAGGGACAUGGGAACAAAGCCCAGAGGAAAGGAGGAGACCCCAGAGUUUAUAAUGUUGGAGACUUCCGUCCCUUGGCUGCAAAGCAAAGGCUAAUAAACUCCAAGUGCAAGAAUGGGUCUAAGAAGGCUCUGAAUCACCCUUCAUCUCAAAUGUGCACUCAGCUUCUGCCUGGUAUAAAUUGGGAGCAGUGAGGAAUAAUAAAGGCGGUGGAAUCUUCUGUGAUAAACUCCUGCCAAAGAGCAUGAAAGACGGUGACAUAACAGACGAGCAGGAGAAGGAGGAGGAGGAGACGUUUACAAUUUUUUGUCUUAUUUUGUGGGUAUAACCAUAAAAAAGUAAUGUCUUCCAUUUGGA